rnacentral:lncRNA from 1 species
UCCAGAGAAGAGUUUCUUUCAUUCCAAGUUGCCAACCAGUCUCAGACACAGAGUUGAAGCAAGAGGCCAGAAGAAAAGGAGUGUCCUGCUGCAGAUGGGCUAAGACGAUCCAGCACAGAGCAGCUGACCAGAGAGAGCCUCGCCAUGUCUGCAGUUCCUCUUAUACCUGUGUGGAGGCAAAGUACCAAGUAAAGGGCAGAAAGCAAGACAUCAGAAAUGCCCUGCACUUUGGGGACUUUUGGCCUAUGGCUUCUACUGAUUUUGACUGUCUCCUUAGUGGCUGGUAAGUCUGAAUUCUGUUUGAAGAGCGAGAGGAGAACGACUGGUGAGAAACCUGGCUCAGCUUUUGCUGAGUUUUCUUUGCCUUUCUUGUGGAGCAAUGCAAGAUACUGCAAUGACAAGAGAUGGGAGAGGGUGUUACUUGUGGAUUUCACUUUGUUGUCCUUACUUUGCUCUUUGUCUUACUUAUUUUACUUCGUAUCCUAUUGCCUUUUAAGUAUCUCUAUAAUUUGCCUCACUGUCCACUUCCUUAUUUCCCCAUGCUCCCUCCCCCCCUUUUCUGAACGAGGGAGAAUACAUGAAAUGUAUUCUAGUAGCAACCCAGGUCAUCUAGGUUCUUUUGACCCUCUUCUCUCUCUCUCUCUCAAAAAAAAAAAAAAUUGAAUAAUAAUCCCACCCCCACUUGGGUCAAUGUUGUUAACAGUAUAAAUUAGGAAAGUUUAUUGCUUUUGCUAACCGUCUAUGGCCAGGUGCCUUUUAAAAAUAUAACACAGUUUAGUGGUGCAUCUGGGAUGGGUGUCUGUAUUUAUCUUUAAGAUGUGUAGGCUGUAAAAGACACUUUCUGGAUGAAAGGACACACUCUUCAACAUCUAGGUUCCUGUAGGAGUUUGUAAAACACUUGGGGGCAAUUGUGGGGGUGUCCGGGUUUCAUUACAGAGGGUUGGUAGGAGUUGAUGUGGGAGGGAGUUUUCAGGUUUCACUUUUAGUAAAUGGGAGCAGCUGCAAGGGAGCAGUGUAGUUGGUUUUAAAUUUUAUAAUUUUAUAAUCGAAAAAAGAAAAGACUGAAGUAUUGCCUACGUUCCAGCAAAAGAAAAAAAGUCUGUUUUCCACAUGAUAACUUAGUGACGAACACAAGAAAAAUAACCAUAUAGUAUUCCUGUACUUUUCUACAUUUGAUCUUAGCUAAAAGGCCGAGAAGCGAUUAUUCCUCUACUUUUCUAGGCAACAUUUUCACAUACUUUUUGUCCUUUGAUCUGUAAAGCAAACCAGUGAAGUAGGCAUGGAAGACACUUUUCCAUUUUAUAAAGGUGAAUUGAUUUAUCCAACACUAUUAGUUUGUGGCAGAGUCACACCCGGUCAGGUCUGGAACCGUCGCUAGACAUUUGAAGAAGCAUUAUGCUUUUCACUAAAAAGUACCACUAUUUAUAACACCACUGAAAACAGUUAUGCCUCGACUUAGUUAUAAGCUUAAUAGACUACUCACUUAAAAACACAUCUGGUGUUCUAAAUCUUUCACUAGUUGAGAUCUAAUAGUAGAAAGCUCUUAGGGAAACCAUGCAGGACCCAACUUGGCAAGGAAGGCAGCUAGGCAAGGAGCUAUUUAUCACUCAUGUCAAAUUGCGUUAUGGGUCUUGGGUAAAAGAAAAAAAAACAGGAUGAAAACGUAAUUGAUCAUUUUGAAUUCUAAUGGUUUAAAGGUGUGAAUUUUAAAACUAUUUCCGAAUACAACUAGAAGAUUUACUGCAUAAAUCAAAUCUCUGAAAGCUGUGCUCGUAUAAUUAUAAAGUUAUCCAAAUAUUUGGAAUCAAGAUACCAAAGACCAAAUUAUAUUAGAUGCAGAAAUGUGCAUGAUAAAUUCACCGUGAAAUAAUUUAGUAUAAUGAGAAGCAAACUACUCGGCGCAUGACUUUAUGUCUUUAUUACUAAUACUGUAUUGUUAUUAAUACUGCUGAACAGUAUUUUGGCAAACAUAACUCACUUUAUUGUGCAAGAUAAAUUCACAAAGGUGCGUAAGAGCAGACUCAAUGUAAAACAUGGCAUUUAAAAAAUCUAUUUAUUUUUCUGUUGACUUAUUUGUUUAUAAAAUUCAAGCAACGUGGUUGUUAGUAGACAAAGUUUAUUAAGAAAGCUCCUGAGGGCAGGGAACGAAUACAAUCUAAAUCAUCCACUGUACAGCAAGGCUUUCCAACUGGUCUUCUGGUCUUCUUCCCUCAUCUGUAUUCUACAUUUUUUUCUUGCUUUAAAAUUAUAUUUUGCUAUUCUAAUCAAUGUGAUUCUACCUUUUAUAAGUCACUGUUAUUAAGGACAUGGUUACUAAAAAGGACUCCCUCUCCACCUUUUUCUCUUCGUCGGGCUAAUUUUGAUCACUUAUCAUUAUCUUCCACGAGGGGGCAGGCAGUAAUAAGAAAAGGAAAUAAAAAUCAAAACAGGGCUGUUGGUAGAUUCGAUGGCUUGCAGAUGAAAGAAAAAAAGAUUAAAAGUAAUUGCAAAAAAAGAAGGGGUUUGUCUUCAUAAAUUUCAGUCCUCUAUUCCUUUUCUAUCUUGUGAUAGUUGUGAAUUUACAUAAUGUUUUCCCCUAACCCUCCAUGCUUAAUUAAAAAAGUAAUAAAAAGUCUUUAUUAAGGACACUGAAUUAUUUAUGGAGGGUGUGUGUGCAAGCUUGUAAAGAAUGCCUAAAAGUUAUUCGCAAUAUAAACUAGGGAGAUGAAGCUGAGAUGAAAUAAUUGGAGAACGUUUUAAAUCCGUCAGUCUUGAAAUUAACUAUGAAUCUAGUAAAAACCCAAAGAUGGGAGAAAUUACAGUAGGUUGGAGAUGUUAAAGUUUUAAUGGAGGUCUUGAAUGAUAGGCUUGGAUAGAUGGGGGAAGGCAGAUAUACACAUUGGGAGGAAGAGAUGUGCGGCAUGAACAAAGGCAAGGUGCUUCAGGGACAGAAAGAACUCUACCUUGACGGAACAGAGAUUGUGUGCUACAUGAUAGUGGGAAAUAAGACUGAAUUCCAGUGGUACUUGAUAGCUCAGCAGAGGAACUUGGAUACUGUGCAGUAAGCAUUGAGGACCAUCUGUUGUUUUGUGAAGCAGGCUCCAGGCUCUAAGCUGUCAGCACAGAGCUUGACGCAGGGUUCGAACUCACAAACCCUGAGAUCAUGACCUCAGCCGAAGUCAGAGGCUUAAAUGACUGAGCCAUCAGGCGUCCCAGAUAUAUUAUAUUAUUAAAUGCUCUUUGCUUCCAAAUUUGAUUAAUGAAUUGAAUAUUUUGGUGCUUUUCAUUUUCUCAAUAAGAUCUCAAUCUCCUUUCCCCAAAUUUCUAAAUUCUUACAUAUCUCUCUGUGAGUAAGAAAUUGCUUACUCUCUUUAGACAAUAAUUUCCUCAUUUGUGAAAUGAAGGAGAUGUAUGACAGCUUUUGAGAAGUGUUUUUAGACGGGAAGGACUUUAGAAACCUUCAAAUUAAAUUCUUACAUUUUAUACAGGGGCAAAUCAAGUCCAGCAUCGGUCAAGGAAUUACUAAAGAUAUCACCCAACUUUUUUGUAAAUGAACUAUGCUUGAAACUCAUCUGUAGUACCAAAAAUAUAGGGUAAAAGAGAUGUGGCAAGUGUGUGGGGGAAAAUCUAUGAUUUUUAGAUGUGAUGCACUUGAAAUGACAGGAGGCAUUUGCGUGGGGGAGAGAUAGCAUCUAAAGGGUUGAGAUUCUUGUUCAGGAAAAAUAAGUCAAGGCUAAAAUGUGGGUCAGUUUUUCUGUCAGUUAAUAAGUAAGGGUGUGUCUGACAUGUGUCAGACACUGUGCUUAAUGCUGGGGAUACCUGAACAAGAUAGAAAAAUCAUGCUCUCACAAAGCUUAGAGUCUCCUAGGAAAUGUAGGCAUGAAAUAAAUCAGUGCCCAAGAUUAAAUAAUGCAUAGGUGCAUAAGAAGAAAGAGAAGGUAGAAUUGGUAAGUCUAGUCUGGUCUGUGAGGGGCAGGGAGGACUUCCCUUUGGAAGGUGAUGUGUAAGAUGAAGAUGAGCAGAAAAGAGCUAGGCAGGAAGAGUUGAUGGAUGAGCAUUCUAGGCAAGUCAAAUAGCUUGUAGGAAGGGCAGAGGGAGCUGAACUAUGACUGCAGAGCUAAAACAAGGAGAAGUCAACUGUCUAGAGGCCUCGUUGGGGCUCUGGGGAUGAUAAGAAAAGGUGCAGAGAGAAAGAUGGGCUGAUGAGACUUCGGGCAAUGCCCGCAUUAACGUAGCUAAAGAGAAAGACAGGCUUGCAGAGAAGACAGAGAGGGAGACGCAGACAGGCAAAACACAGGAGUAGUGGUACAGGCUAAGAAGAGGGUUUUACAAGGAAAGGAAAGUGGUUAAUAGCAUCAACAUCUUCCAAAUAACCCAGGAGCAUGAGCACUGAAGAAAGGCCACAAGUCUGACUGUAAGGUAGCUGGUGACCUUCAAAAUUGUGUUCUGAAUAGAAAGGUGUAGGAACCACAAGGUUGCUGGUAUUGAGGAGAGAGUGGGUGUGGAGGAAAUUGAGCCUGUGGUCACAGACCACUCAAUUCUAGACACUUGGCAGUAACAAAAGGAGAAAGGAUCAUAGCUAGAAGGAGAAAGCAGCAUCAUUUUUUUUUUUUCUUUCAAUCAACAUGGGGGAAACCUGUGUGUGUUCAAAGGGUAUCAUUUGAGAAUAUUCAGUGAUUCAGUAAAGGCACUUCUCCAAACUGGGUGUGUGCACAUGUGAGCAGUUAGUUGUUUAAUGAUUUAUUUUCUUUUUCCUUGCCAUUUUGUUAGUUUGCCCUGAAAUACUACCCUUUCCCAAAGGUUUAACUAUUGUAUGAGAAUAUCUGGCUAUAGAAUCCAUUUUAUGGUAUUGAUAAUUUUUUGGAAAAAAUGCCCAGGUCAACAUAAUGAAACCUAGUGAUUUUUCUUCUCCAAAAAAAUCACUCAAUCUAUCGUUCAUUGGCUCCCUCCUAGAUGUUCCCCAAGGAUUAUCCUGAACCAGUACAUGAACUGGUUGACAGAAUCACCUGUAUAGCCUAAAUUAUUAAAGAUGCUGUGAUGCCAUCUCAGACCUACUUAAUUGGAAUUAUUAGGGUACAGAGUCUGAGAUCUUGGCUUUCACAAAUCUUUGCAAGUAGUUCUGCUGGGAGCCUGGAUUUAAACACUGUCUUAGGUAAUUUUCUUUUUUCAACGUUUAUUUAUUUUUGGGACAGAGAGAGACAGAGCAUGAACGGGGGAGGGGCAGAGAGAGAGGGAGACACAGAAUCAGAAACAGGCUCCAGGCUCUGAGCCAUCAGCCCAGAGCCCGACGCGGGGCUGGAACUCACGGACCGCGAGAUCGUGACCUGGCUGAAGUCGGACGCUUAACCGACUGCGCCACCCAGGCGCCGCCCCAUGUCUUAGGUAAUUUUCACCCAAACUCUUCCCGUUGUCUCUCAUAUUCAGCAGAUGGCUGCUCACUUCUGACUUACCUAUCAUCCAAUGUGGACUUCUUUAACUUCCCCAAAUGAUGACCCUUCUGAGAGUGGAGACCUUACCCUUUGCAUUGCCAGAGCUCUGCACAGCUACCUGACGCUAAGUAGUUACUCUCCGAAAACGUUUGUCAACAUGAGCUUCCUCAAAAUGUCUCUCGUGUCUGUAACUUCUUUUGCCCUUUCUGCUUCUGUCUUAGAGACUAAGUGUCAGUCUUUUCAAAAGCACUGCCCCCCACCCCCCGACCCUUCUUUGGCCUCAUGUCCUGCCGGUACUUCUAGGAUCCUGCUUUACUGUCUGCCUUGUAAGUUCUAGCUCUCCCUCUUUCUAUCUUCAAAUAUGCUAUGCUCUUCUCUAUCAGAUAGCUUCUUGGUUCUCAGUUCCGAAUAUCAUCCCGCGCUCUCUCUCAGGUUUGACACGAAAAGAGAAAGCCACUUGUCAUUCUCCCAUACUUCCAAGGCUGAAAUUCUUGAAAGAAUAAGUCUACCUUUGUUGAGAGUUUCUUUUGCUUGGCUCCUUUCAAUCUUGCAUUCAUCCCUCUGUACUAACACUACUCUCUUACAGCUCCUAAAGGUCUCUGACCACCUUCUUGUUAGAAAAUCACACUCCUAGUCCUUACUUUAAGACGUUUCCUGAAUGAUUUGAUUUUGAUGAUUCCUUUCUUGAAAUCUCCUCCCUGGUGUAAGGCAUUGCAUUUCUUUUCUCUUCAUUGUUUUUGCUACCUUUGCUUCCUCCAACAGCUUCCUCAUUAUGAAUGUUUCCCACUCUGGCUUAGGCCUCUUCUCUAAUUUCCACCUCAGAGACUGCAAUUUGGCAGCCCAUGGGCGAGACCUGGCUUGCAGGCACGUUCAGUUGGCUCAUGUAACAUUUUUAAAAAUCUGAAUUAGUUGCCAAUACUUUAAAAUUGGGAGAUUUUACCCAACACCCCUGAUCUAGUGUCUAGGGUUGUUGUGAGGAUUAAGUUAAAUUUUGUAUAUAAAACACUUAAACCUGGGUCUGAAUUUUAUAUUCAAUAGAUGGUAUCUUAAUUAUAAUUUUGCAGUUUUCAAGUAUCUUUCAUAGAUACUAUUUUUGAAACUUAUUUAAUUAGGCCUUACAGAUCAACAACUUUCUUGUUGUUUUCAGUUUUUUUUUGGAAUUAAGAACUAUGCUGGAAUUAAUAUCCUAGUAAAUAUAUCUCUGUAUAUCAAUAUGCACGGAUAUUCACUAUCCACUCAGCACAUUGUCCCUUGUGAUCACUAAUACACAUUUGUACAACAUCUGCCCUGGGGCAGGGACCAAAUCUGUUUCUAUUAACUGGUUUAAGGCUAUGUGAUGGUAACUGCUGGAAAAAAAAUUACCCCAACAAUAUGCGAUUUAUUAGCAUGGUGUCCUAACCCACUGAUACAGGCUUUGUGAUGAUAUCAUUGUGGAAACUAGGGUCAAAUUUAUUAUUUACCACAAUUCUUUUUUCUUUCUAAAUUUUAUUUAUCCAUUGAAUUCAUUAUUGAAUUCUUAUGUUUUAGAGCUUGUUACUUAAACUUUUCUCACUCUUCCUUUUUGUAAACCGUCUGGGUGUUGUAUUUCUCUCUCUCUAUUGUAUCUGAAGAGCAUAAUUAUAGUUACCAGCUAAGCCAAUUUUCAACAUAUGACUUAACUUUAUCUUUUGUUGUCCUGUUCAUAUCUUUUGCCCAUUUUUCAUUUGGGAUGUCCAUCUCUUUUUUUAUUGGUUUAUGUGUUUUCUGUAUAUUUUUUUGAGGAUAUUAGCCUUUUUUAACAUCAAUGUUCACAAUAUUCCAUAGGUGUUUGUUAAUGUUAGCUUACACAUUGUUUUUCUUUUUUGCCAUAUAGAAGUUUUAAAUUAUUUCUAUAGUCAUCUUUCUCACUAUUUUCUUUUAUAGUUUCUAUUUUGUACCAGGGUUAAAAAAGGUUUCUUUACUUACAGCGACAACUGUCCCAGUCUGCCUGGAACUUUCCUGGUUUUAGCACUGAAUGUCCUUUGUCCCAGGAAACCCCUCAUUCCCUGGCAAACCGAGAUGUUACUCACUCCAUGUCCCAUUUAAGAUAAAAAAAAAUAUAUUAUCUGUGUUUUCUUCUAGUCUAUUUAUCUAUCUAUCUAUCUAUCUAUCUAUGUAUCUAUCUUCUAUCUAUUAUCUAUUAUUUAAAUCUUUUGUUCUAUUUAUAUUUGUGUGAGAAGUGAGAUAGGAAUCUGUUUUUUUCCUAAAUGAAAAGCUAGUUUUCCUAAUACCAUUUAUCAAUGAUAUAAAUAAUUAUCCUUCCCUUUAUGAAUUGAAUGACUACUGUUAUCAGAUACUACAUUCUUAUAUGUAUAGAUGAAGCACUGAGGUUCAGGGAGUAAUCUGUGCAAGACUGCAGAGGUAAUAAAUGGAAGAACCAAAAUAUUAGUUGAUUUUCUUACUCUAAUUUUGGUGCUUUUCUGAAUUUGUCUUUGUUAGAACUUUGGGUUUCCACGCAUUAUUUUGUUUAUUGAACACCUAAUUAGGUGUUGUCUACUACCACAUUAAUACCUUUGAAAAUGUAAAUCACUUUCAUAAAUUAAAGCAUAAGAACACAGCAUCCUUGAUGCUAUGAUACAAGGAUCAAUUGCUCACAUUGUUAUGUCAAAAAAAAUGUAAGUACUAAUUAUACUUUUUGUGUUUUUUGAACUUACUAUUUUAAUUUUCUUUUAUAUUAAUGUAUAUAUUGCAGAGUGCAUUACAUACGUGCAUUUCAAAGAACAGUUGUACAGUGAAUGUUAACGUAAGUUAAGAGAUAGACUAUUGCCCGUUCUUUCCCAAUUAUACCCCUCAACCUUUGCUGUAAGGGUAGCCAUAUUUUUUGGAAUGAUCAUUCCCCUGCCUUUCUUUAUAUUUUGCCAUAUAUAUAUAUCUGGCCCCAAACAAUGACAUCUAUUUUGCUUUUUUUUGUAUUGUCAUAGAUGAUAUCAUACUGUGUAUAUUAUUUUAUAGCUGCUUUCAUUUGCUGAAUAUUAUGUUUGAGAUUUACUCAUGUUUAAGUUUGUAGUUAUAGCACAUUAACAUAAAUAAUUUUUAUCCUAAAAUUUUUUUUUUAACAUUUAUUUAUUUUUGAGACAGAGAGAGACAGAGCAUGAACAGGGGAGGGUCAGAGAGAGAGGGAGACACAGAAUCUGAAACAGGCUCCAGGCUCUGAGCUGUCAGCACAGAGCCCAACGCGGGGCUCGAACUCACGGACCGCGAGAUCAUGACUUGAGCUGAAGUCCGCCGCUUAACCGACUGAGCCACCCAGGUGCCCCUAUCCUAAAAUUUCAAAUGCUUUCAAAAUAGUUUUUUUCCUUGGAAAAACUCCAAGUGCAGAAAUAACAAAUAUGACUUUAAAAUAAGAAAUCUCUUAUUUUUCAUUUCAGUUUCUUUCUUUUUCAGAAGGAAGGAUUCAUGAUCAUUGAAAUAUUAAGCUUUAAUACAAAUGAAGAAGAAAGUUUCAUUUUAAAAACAUGUUACAUUUCACAUUGCUAAAAUGGCAAACUUCUGUUUUUCUUUUCUGUUCUCUUUCCGCAGGAAGAUACAUUUGUCCCAGGAAAAAAAGUUCAGAAAUCAUGAUAUGAAAUAGCAUAAUAGCAAAAGAUGAGAUUCCCUUUUUUUGAUCCUGGUCUUUCUUCAGAUCCUAGUUGUCUAUAGGCCAUCCAGGCACAUGUUGUCUGCACAUAAUAGUACUUUUAUUUAGGGUAUUCUUCUCUCUCUGUCUCUGUCUCUUUCUCUCUUUCAAUCGGCUUCUUGUCUAUUGGAUCUUGUAUUAAUUACCUAUUGUUCCAUUAUAAAUUAUCCCCAAAUAUUUAUUUUCUCACAGAAACCCAAGAAUGUGAGAGAGAGAGAGGGAGGGGGGGAGAGAGAGAGAGAAAGAGCACAUAAGGACAGAAACCACAGUCUUUUUAUAAGUAACUCUCAACAGUGACAUCUAUCACUUUGCUAUAUUCUAUUUGUUAAGUGAAUGAGUGAGUCUAAUCCACAGUCAAGAACUUUCUUGUUGUUUUCAAGGAGAAAGUUUUACAGACAUGAACACUAAGAAGAGAGAACACUGGGAACCAUCUUGGGCGCCGCCCACCACCUCAAUACUAGGAUAAGUUGCUCAUGAUACAUUUUUCACACUUCAUUUAUCGCUAUUGCAAUUUCACAUAAUUAUUUAUUUUGUUGAUGUCUAUUGUCCCCAGCAGAUUGAAAUUCCAUGAUAAAUAGGGAUUCAUUAAGUGCCUAACCAUUGUAAUUGAAUAAAUAAUUAAGGAAUAUUAUUGUAGCUUCCAAUUUCCCUCUACCAGUCCAAAAGCUCUAAUAUAGGGGUUCACUCAGGUGCCAUUUGAACGAAAACUGCUGUGAUCAUAAUCUGAUCCUUAUCUUAGUAGGCAGAAAAGAAAACAUUUCCUUUAUUUCCAAAAUUUAUCAUAACAUUAACACAUUUGUCUUCAGGUACUAUUAGUAGAGAAAAGGUUCACAUGAGCUUUUAUUCCAAGCGUUCCUUGUUUGCUAUUUAUAAAUAACAGAAUUUUGGGGAAAAUUGGUGAUGCUUGCAAUUAUUCCUACAGGAUGAUACUGCUUUUUAAUUAUAUAUCGGAAAUAAAAUUAUAAUUUAGGCUCCCUUCUCCAAAAGUUAUGAAGUUCAUGGAUUUUUUUGUUGAAUAUCAUGGACUUUCCCUAGUUCCUAGAUCACAAUGUGAAAACCACUUCAUCAGAGCAGAAAUACAGUUAGCCUAUUUGGGUGACAAUUCAUUCUCAGGACCUCUGAGAAAGGACACAAUUUAAUUCCACAACUUCUCAUUGAAUCCAUUUGUAACUGUUGGGAAAUAAUACUUUUAGGUCUAACCUACAUCCACAAUAUGCAUUUUUAUAAAAUACAACACAAACAUUUACUAACUAAAAUUUUAGGGUUGGUAUUUUAAGCUUUCUGGAGCCAGAAGAUUGAAAGUUAAGGUUUCUGUAUUGUACUGACUUUACUGUACUGCUGAUUAGAAAAAGUUAUGUGCUUAGUGUAGCUAAAUAAAGGUUGUUCUGGCAAUGUAAUUUGAAUUUCUGAGUCUUUGUAUGAUUAAGGUCUCAGCCUCAAAGUUGCAUUUAUUUUAGUUUAUCUUAUUUUAUUUUUCAGGCUCAGUAAUGAAAAUAUUUAUUUAUGUAUUUAUUUAUUUAUUUAUUAUUUUUUCCCUUGAAAACUCCUGUAAUGUUUAAUUUUUUCUCUUUUUAAAAUUUUUAAAAUUUUAUUUAGAUCCAAGUUAGCUAACAUAUAGUGAUUUCGGGAAUAGAAUUUAGUGAUUCAUCACUUACAUAUAACACCCAGUGCUUCUCCCAGCAGGUGCCCUCCUUAAUGCCCAUCACCAGUUUAGCCCAUCCCCCCACCCAAUACCCCUCCAGCAACCCUCAGUUUGUUCUCUGUAUUUAAGAGUCUCUUAUGGUUUACCUCCCAGUCUCUUUUUAUCUUAUUUUUUCAAAGUUGCAUUUAUUUUAAAUGAAACCUUGAAUCUUUGGUGAAGUAUACUCAGCGUUUAAUACCCUGAGGAUUUAAUACCUGUUUGCAAUGUGCUUUGAAUCCCUUUCAUCAGUUAUUCUUUACUUAUUAAUUAAGAAUGAUAGUCUGUUUUGUGGAGGGGAAAACUAGAGCAUAUGCAUUUAUUCAGUUACCUAAAAUGAUUCAGGAAAGCAGAGUAAGAAGUAAAACUCAUGUCCUUCCUGUUUUGCAGCCAAUGCUUGACCCACGAUGGUCCAGCACUGUAUUUGUUAUAAUAACUUGCAGAGUUUUGAAGUUUGAAAGCUUGAAACAUCAAAUGAAGAAUGAAAUAACUCUAUUAUUUGGUUUUCCUUGAGUAAGAUAUCAGAAUAUUCCCACAGAUUUCAUUGUAUUGAAAUAUAUUUCAAUGUAUUCUGUGUUAUAUUUUUUAAAGUAGUAAAUUAAUUAAAUAUUAAUAUCAAUAAAAUUUACAAAGGCCAUAAUAAGCAAUAAGAAUGACUUCUAAUUAGUUAGUACUGGCUUUGAGGCCCCAAGUCCUAGAAAGAAAUGUCAAAAGAAAUGUAAAAAUAAAACUAUACCACAUGAUUUUUUUUUGCACAGAUAUGAGUAUCUUAUUAGAGCAUAGCCAAAUAUUUUAGGCUCCAGUUUUGCCCUCAUUAAAGCAUUCUUUUAGCUUAAAACUCAUUGUAUUAGCCUCCUCACUGCUUUGUUUGCAUUCUCCCUGAAAAACCUCCAAAUGAAUGAAAAGGCAAGAAAUCUUUAACUUUUUUUGUUUCCCAUUUCCACACCUUAGAGAUAAUACACUAAUCUUAGCAACUGUAGAAACUUUUUGAGUAUCACACAGUCCACGUUCUAUUUAGGUUACUAACAGUUACUCACACAAGAGUUUUUAUUGGGAGUGGAGAUUUAUCAACAAUGCCUAUCUCUCACUUUUUUAGUCAGGAGAACACAGCCAACCACAGGAUUUUAGAAUAGUUAAAAACUGUUUAACCUCACACACAAAAAAACCUGUGCUCUUUCUGAGAGCUUUUUUCUUUUCCCCCCUGAGAGCCUUUUUCCCCCCCUCACUGGAGGAAGCCUUUAGAGUAUGGCUUUGCACAGUCAUGCCCAUACAAUGUCUGCUAUGUGGGUGGAUGGUGUAUGCUUUCUCAGGCAUAUGACAAUGACGAUUUGGGAAAGGAAACUUCUGGUGCUCAAAGUGAGUAAGAGGUUUCAUUUGUACUAAAAUCACAAAACAAUCUUAUUUCUACUGAUGCUUUUGACUUAGAUGGAAAAGUUUUGUUUUUUUUUUUUUAAACAUUGUUUUCAGCGUCAAGGGUUUUUCCACCUGCAUUUUGUUUUGUGUUUGUUUGUGUGGGUGGAUGCAUCUUCUAAUGUUACAUGUGUUAAAAUCUCAUGUUUCUGAUACUGUAUUUAAUUAAACUGAGGGGCAAUUUGUGUACAAUUAAGUGCAUCUAUUCAAAAGUUAUAGUUUGUGAGUCAUCACAAACAAGAUACAGAACAUUUUCAUUGUUCCCCAGAUAUUCUUCCAUGUAUGUUUGCAGUCCAUCCUUGCCUUUGUCUUCAUCUGCAGGCAACCACUGAUGUGUUGUUUGGCACCACAGAUGAGUUAGCAUUUUACGUUAGUAGCAUUCUUUCGUGUGGUGUAUACUGUAUUCUCUUUGUGUCUGCUUGUUUCAUUCAACAGAAUGAGUUUCAGAAUCAUCAAUGUUGUGUGUUCCUUUUGUUACUGAAUACUAUUCCAGUGUACGGACAAUUUCUCCGUAUACAUGUUGAUUGGUAUUUAGGUCGUGUCCAGGUUUGGCUAUUAUGAUUGAAGGUGCUAUGAACAUUCAUGCACAAGUCUUUGUGGGGACAUAUAUUUUCGUUUCUUUUGAGUAAAUAUCUAGGAUUGAAAUGGUCAGGUUAUAUGGUGGCCACGUGUUUGACUUUUUAAAAAACUGCCAGAUAUUUUCCAGUGUAGUUUCUACUAUCACCAACAAUAUGAUUAUUGGAGAUAAUUAAAGAUUUUUUUUUUUUGCAAUUUAUCCUUAAGUUAAAAUCUAUUAGAGGCACACAGUCAAAUUGCUGUGUUUUGAAAGUCAGUUGGAAUAGCUGCUCUCUAUGUGGUCAUGCAACCAAUUCUAACAAAUGCAGUUGGGUAUAUUUGUUUCACUUUGCUUUAUAAUCUUAGUGCUUACAAAUAGCUUGGUUAUGCUUUCUUUAAAAAAGUUUUUUUAAUGUUGAUUUAUUUUUGAAAGAGAGAGAGAAAGAGAGAGACAGAGCGUGAAUGGGAGAGGGUCGGAGAGAGAGGGAGACACAGAAUCUAAAGUAGGCUCCAGGCUCUGAGCUGUCAGCACAAAGCCCAACGCAGGGCUCAAACCCAUGAACUGGGAGAUCAUGACCUGAGCCAAAGUCAGAUGCUUAACUGACUGAGCCACCCAGAUGCCCCAAAUAUUUGGUAACGCUUUCUAAUUAUGUAAAAUGGCUACCUGAUUCCAAAGUCAAAUCUAUUAAACCAGGUAUAUUCAGAGACAUAUUAUUUCUAUUCCUGUUCCCAUUUUAUCCAUUUAGUUUUGAAAUUAUAAGCAAGGAAAGAAACACACAUGUAUCCCUCCCAUGGGAUUAAUGGUAGUGUAAUAUAUACAAUUUUAUGUAUCCUGCUUUUCUUACUUAACAAUACUUCUUGGAGAUCACGCCAUAAUAGUUUAUAGAGCUUUCUUUUGUUCUUUUUUUUUUAAACUUAAGAAAAACUUUAUUUGUUUAUUUUUGAGAGAGAGAGGGUGUGUGAGUGGGGAAGAGACAGAGAAACAGGGAAAGAGAGAAUCCCAAGUAGGCUCCACAUUGAUCAGCAUGGAGCCCGAUGCUCCAUGAGCAUCAGCAUGGAGCCCAAUUAACUAUGAGAUCAUGACCUGAGCUGAAAUCAAGAGUCAGAUGCCUAACUGACUGAGCUAUCCACGAGCCCCUAGCUACCCCUCAUUCUUUUUAAAAGUUUCAUUAUGCUUCAUUUUCUGGAUGUACCAUAGUUUAGAACACUAAUCCCCAAUGAAUAGCCAUUGAGUUACUUCUAAAAAUCUUCCAAUUACAAUGUUGUAAUGAAGAGUCUUGUGCAUAUAUUCUUUUCAUACUUUUGCCUGUGUAUCUUUAGGAUAGAUCCUGACAAUUGGUAUUGCUGGGUUAAAAGAAAAAAUCAUAUGUAAUUUUGCUAUAUUUUUCCAAAUUUUCCUCUGUUGAAGUUGUAACAUUUUACAUUCCCAUGAGCCUAUCGACAUGCCUAUCUCACUAUAGCUCCAAAGUAUUGUCAAAUUUUUAGACUUUGGCAGCAUAAUAGGCGAGAAAUGGUAUUUCUGUAUAGUUUUAAUUUGCAUUUCUUUUGCUAUGAAUAAUGUUUAGUAUCUUUCUAUAUGACUAAGAGACUUUUGUACUUUUUUUCUGCAAACUAACUGUCCAUAUCUUGUUACAGUUUGCUAUAAAGUUGUGUUGACUUUUAUGUUUUUAAUGCAGCUUGAGCUAGCUACAUGCCAGGUAGCUGUGCAAAGCACUCAUCUAAGCAUGUGGAAAGAAAAACAUAGAUGAAACUCUCUACCUUCCUGGAGCUUACAGUCUACUGAGGGAGUGAUGGCCCACGAAUUUCGACCCUCCUGCUUAGUUUAACGAUUUCCAUUCAGAUCCAGAAUUCAUAAUGGUUGUGUUCGUAUGCCAUUAUAAUCUUAAUUCCAUGGACUUGUCGUUUGAUGUGCUCUUUCAGAUCUUUGUCUCUCAGUGUUUCCCCCACAACAUGAUUUGGGCUUGCUUCUUCAACUCUCUUAAUUUGGAUUGAUUUGGGUAGUGUAUUUAUCCUAGCGCAUUUCUUAGGAUCCAGCCUUUGCUUUCUAUACACUGAGGUAGGACCUAGUUGCAUAAGAAUAAUUGGGCAAUCAGAGCAGCUGACAAGCUGGGUGGGUGGCCUUGGCCAAACUGCUUCAUUACUGUUGAGUCUGCAUUUCUUUAUCUGUAAAAUGAGGUUAAAAAUACCUGUCAGCAUGGAGAGGCUGUAAUAAAUAACAUCUGCUAGUUAUCCCAAGUUUCUUCCUAGUGUAAGUGUUCAAAAAUUGUUAUUUUAAAACAAUGUUUUAUUGAAGAAAAUGGUUGUUAAUGGGAACAGUGGAUUCAAAAUUUCUCCAGAAAAACACUGUGCAUUAAAUUUUACUCUAAAAUGUGUCUCUUUGCCGAUCAGGUACAUUUACUGUAGAUGUACUAGAAGUGUAUCAUUUCCUUGUGAACACUUUCUAGGCAUUUUGUGCCUUCCACAGUGAGAACCUGCCCCUAUCUCACCUCAACUCUAAUUAUACAUCUGUUUUUUUCUCACUUCAUGGCAAUUCUGAACUAUUUGUAAUUCCUUGAAAAUCCCAUGUGGCUUCAUAUCUUCUUCUAAAUGACUUUCUUUCUGUGUGCAAAAAGAUUUCCUUUUAUCUUCCUGCAUAACUCUUCAUCUACUGAGAUGCAGUUCAAAUAUCAUCUGUUGUAGGGAGUCUUACCUAAUCUCCUACCCUUGCUCUCUUAAACAUUUCUUCUUUUUAACUCCUGGAUGUUAUGUAUACUUCUGUCACCACUCUGAAAACUUUACCUUAUAAUUAUGUACAUCGCUGCUUCCUCAUCUGGAUCUUAAGCUCUUGGAGAGUAGAGGGCAUUGUUUACCAUGAUGUCUCUAUGCAUGGUGAAUAAUUUGCCAGGAGUUGCCACUCAAAAAAAUGUUUAUUGGCAAUUCCCACUUAGAGCUUGCCUUGCAAAAUUUGAACUUAACAGUCAGUUGUCUUUAUGAUGUAAUUUCAACAAUGCUUAGAAAAAUCCUUUUUUGAUCCAUACUAGAACCCAAUGAAUAUAUCACUACUAAACUUUCUUGAACUACUCAAUCGUGCCUAAACAGUCUGUAAUACAUAGUACCCUCCCCCACCCCUUUUCUUCACAAUUGGAGGUAGACUAAAUGCACAUAAGCCAGAAUGAAGAAAUACUUUGAUUUGAGGGGUGCCUGGGUGGCUCAGUCAGUUAAGUGACUGACUUCGGCUCAGAUCAUGAUCUCAUGGUUCAUGAGUUCGAGCCCCACAUCAGGCUCUGUGCUGACAGCUCACAGCCUGGAGACUGCUUCNNNNNNNNNNNNNNNNNNNNNNNNNNNNNNNNNNNNNNNNNNNNNNNNNNNNNNNNNNNNNNNNNNNNNNNNNNNNNNNNNNNNNNNNNNNNNNNNNNNNNNNNNNNNNNNNNNNNNNNNNNNNNNNNNNNNNNNNNNNNNNNNNNNNNNNNNAAAAAAAAAAAAAGAAAUACUUUGACUUGAAUGUAAAGACAGGAGGGUGCAGACACUCUGGAUCUAAAGUAGGGGUAUGCCAAACAGGUAGGAAGUUCAGGUCAAAAAUUCAUCCUGGGGCAAAUUGUUCUGAGACUUGUUUGCCUGUCAUAAUUUAUGUUUUUAUUGGUAACUGCAAUCCAAACAUGGCCUGAAGAACGUGAAAAAAAGUGUGAUUUUAAGUAGGAGUCAGAAAUGCUAAUGUGUAUUCCUCUGAUUACCCCAUCUGUCUUUUUGGAAUGUGUAAAUGCAGAAACGAGAACUCUGGUUACACCAAGCAACGGAUUAAGGCCAAAAAUGAGCAAGGACAAUGACAG